rnacentral:rRNA from 1 species
CAGUAGCCACGGUAAAACAGAGGGUGCGAGCGUUAAUCGGAUUUACUGGGCGUAAAGCGUGCGUAGGCGGCUUCUUAAGUCGGAUGUGAAAUCCCUGAGCUUAACUUAGGAAUUGCAUUCGAUACUGGGAAGCUAGAGUAUGGGAGAGGAUGGUAGAAUUCCAGGUGUAGCGGUGAAAUGCGUAGAGAUCUGGAGGAAUACCGAUGGCGAAGGCAGCCAUCUGGCCUAAUACUGACGCUGAGGUACGAAAGCAUGGGGAGCAAACAGGAUUAGAUACCCGGGUAGUCCCUGUCUCUUAUAC